rnacentral:rRNA from 1 species
UACGUAGGGGGCAAGCGUUGUUCGGAUUUACUGGGCGUAAAGGGCGCGUAGGCGGCGCGUAAAGUCGGACAUGAAAUCAUUAGGCUUAACCUGAUGGCUGUGCCCGAUACUUACGUGCUUGGAGUGCGGGAGAGGCAAUCGGAAUUCUCGGUGUAGCGGUGAAAUGCGUAGAUAUCGAGAGGAACUCCGGUGACGAAGGUGGGUUGCUGGACCGACACUGACGCUGAGGCGCGAAAGCUAGGGGAGCAAACGGG